AUUGAACGCUGGCGGCAGGCUUAACACAUGCAAGUCGAGCGGGGGAAGGUAGCUUGCUACCGGACCUAGCGGCGGACGGGUGAGUAAUGCUUAGGAAUCUGCCUAUUAGUGGGGGACAACAUCUCGAAAGGGAUGCUAAUACCGCAUACGUCCUACGGGAGAAAGCAGGGGAUCUUCGGCCCUUGGGCUAAUAGAUGAGCCGAGGUCGGAUUAGCUAGUUGGUGGGGUAAAGGCCUACCAAGGCGACGCUCUGUAGCGGGUCUGAGAGGAUGAUCCGCCACACUGGGACUGAGACACGGCCCAGACUCCUACGGGAGGCAGCAGUGGGGAAUAUUGGACAAUGGGGGGAACCCUGAUCCAGCCAUGCCGCGUGUGUGAAGAAGGCCUUAUGGUUGUAAAGCACUUUAAGCGAGGAGGAGGCUACUCUAGUUAAUACCUAGGGAUAGUGGACGUUACUCGCGGAAUAAGCACCGGCUAACUCUGUGCCAGCCGCCGCGGUAA
rnacentral:rRNA from 1 species